AACGAACGCUGGCGGCAUGCCUAACACAUGCAAGUCGAACGAGACCUUCGGGUCUAGUGGCGCACGGGUGCGUAACGCGUGGGAACCUGCCCUUAGGUUCGGAAUAACUCCCCGAAAGGGGUGCUAAUACCGGAUAAUGUCUUCGGACCAAAGAUUUAUCGCCUUUGGAUGGGCCCGCGUUGGAUUAGCUAGUUGGUAGGGUAAAAGCCUACCAAGGCGACGAUCCAUAGCUGGUCUGAGAGGAUGAUCAGCCACACUGGGACUGAGACACGGCCCAGACUCCUACGGAAGGCAGCAGUGGGGAGUAUAAGACAAUGGACGAAGGCCUGAUCCAGCAAUGCCGCGUGAGUGAUGAAGGCCUUAGUGUUGUAAAGCUCUUUUACCCGGGAUGAUAAUGACAGUACCGGGAGAAUAAGCUCCGGCUAACUCCGUG
rnacentral:rRNA from 1 species